AAGUGGCGAACGGGUGCGUAACACGUGAGCAACCUGCCUCGGAGACCGGGAUAACUCGGGGAAACUCGAGCUAAUACCGGAUGCCCUCCCCGGACCGCAUGGUCUGGUGAGGAAAUGGUCUUCCGCUCCGAGAUGGGCUCGCGGCCUAUCAGCUUGUUGGUGGGGUAAUGGCCUACCAAGGCAACGACGGGUAGCUGGUCUGAGAGGAUGUCCAGCCACACUGGAACUGAGACACGGUCCAGACUCCUACGGGAGGCAGCAGUGGGGAAUCUUGCGCAAUGGGCGAAAGCCUGACGCAGCGACGCCGCGUGCGGGAUGAAGGCCCUCGGGUCGUAAACCGCUUUCAGCAGGGACGAUUGUGACGGUACCUGCAGAAGAAGCCCCGGCCAA
rnacentral:rRNA from 1 species